AUUUUUUUGAAGAAAAACGAAAAGAAGCAGCCCAAGACCCAGGCUAGGAUUUUGCUUAGGGGUCGAAUUUCAUUCCCCUCACUCUGCAUCCACUCAAAAUCGCAGACACCCAACCCUCUUAUCUGAACCAGAAGACCUAGCAGCAAUCACCCCGCCACUCACGCACUCGUCGCUGCCUCCACCGAACGGCCACCGCGACGCCACCAAAGGGGUUGCUAGCGACCACCGUCGACCACAGCUCCCCACCGGUUGCCGCCGUCAAGCCUUCCCCUCUCCUUCUCUUUUCUCGUGUUAACCUAGGGUUGGGGGUUCCUUCUCAAAUGCACCGCCGGCCACCACUGCUUUGAAUCCAGCCACCGUGCCACCCUCUUCUCUCUUCGACGCCGACGAGCUCUGUCGCUGCUGGUGAGCUCUUCUUCCUCUCUCCUUCGCUCGCGAGCAAGGAAACCCCUUUCCUCUUCUUCAAGUCCAAGAGCGCCGCCACCAACAAGACAAAACGCCGUUGCCUCAGGUAGACCGGCUGUCGUUCAUGCGCGCAACAGAGGCGUCGUGGUGACCGAAAAUGGUUUCGAUUUCCAGAGCAGUUAAAACAGAUGCAGAGAUUUUGGGUUGUUUGGCUAUGCUAAGGCUGUGGUUGUGGCUGCACUGCGAUUAACUUUAAACAAAUUGGCAUGGGAUCUUGCAGGUUGAGGAUGAUGGUGUGAUGCGUGAGUUGGGGUGGAGGUUCUAAUGGGGUGGUUCAGGUGUCUUCCUUUUUUCGUUGUGUUUCUGGUUGAUGAUUGUGAGAACUUGGCCUAUGGCUUGCUGGAAUUUUGCUUCAGCGAAAAGGAUUGGGAAUAAAUUUAGGAGAUCUGUUUAGUUUUUGUUUCCUUUCCGAGUGCAAUUUGAAAAAGGCAAUGGUGUCGUGAUGUUGAGGUAUCAUCGGGUUGACUCCUUUGUUGGUGGCUUGGGUUCGUGUUUCUCUUGAUGGUGUUGGCUUUGGGUAACGAAACCAAAGAUGGAGGAAGCAAGUUGUUCUGGGGAGCGGUCUCACAUGGCAGGGGAUUUCCGAUUUGGUCUCCGUGUUUGUUUGAUAUAGGUGAAAGAGGAUUUUGAGAUUGAAGGUAGUUGCAGCGUUAUCCAGAUUGAAGGAGACCUAUGGUUUGUUAGAGGGAGCAACUGCUUUUGUUUUAUGUUUUCCUUUGCUUCAUAUGAGAACUGAUAUGAAAGGAUUUUGUCUAUGUUUCCUUCUUUCGAUUUUUCUGGGUGUAAGUAAAGAGGGUGUUGGAGUCUUGCUGUUGGGGAUACAUGCCUAUGUAUGAUGGAUUUUGCAGGCAUUGAAACUGCAAGUUUCUGGGUGCAGUUUUUGAUUGACAAAGGAUAUCACAAAGUAAACUAACAACCAUAUCCACGCAUACUUCAUUCAUAACAACAUAGACAUGUUUCAUUCAUAUCAAUUCCAGGAA